ensembl:lncRNA
UCGAACAUUCAAGUCGGGAUAAAAGAAUCCUGUGGUCCACAAAGUCAAAGGCUAAACUCAAGUCUAACAACACUAAAGUUAAGUUCAGGAACAGUGCUUAAGUUUGUAACAAUGCCCAUCCCUAAACCAGUCAUUUUUAUUAAUUUGCCUAUAAACAGCUUUGUCACGUUUCCACCAUUAUAUAACUUAAUAGUCAUAGUUUGCACUUUGCAGCAAGUCAAAACAACAGUGGCAUCAUGUUCAUUACAUUUGUAGAAUAAAGAAAAGAAAGAGUCCUGUUGGUGUUUCAACUUUACAGUACUUCACAUCUUGACAGUUGCUUCACAACUUCACAGUUGCUUAUUUUGUGGAAAAACUUAAUUGACCACAGACAAUCUGCCCUUAUAUUUGCCUUUAUUUCUAUUAUUACAUUGCAUUUACAGUUUCUCUAUAUUUUGAUUGUACUUGUAGCCUACAUAUGUACAUUUGAACUAGUGAAAUGGGACACUGAACACUGAAUGAUGGAGUAAUUGUUGGCAUGCCUUGUCUAUAAUCAGACAUUAUUCUUGUGAAUCAGUACAAAAGUGCAGUUCUAUGUAGAAAUAAAGACAACGGUGGAGACAGAGACAGGGCCAUUUACAAACGCUAAGAAAUGAAGCCAUAAAAAGGUGAACAGAAUCAGAAUUUUCACUCCAAACAUUCAGCUUCAGCCUCUUUCAGAGUUAACAAACAAUAAUUGAACAGACACAUAUAAAUGCAAAGUGCAUAUUAACAAUGCCAUGUUUGACACAAAACAAAAUUAAAAUUAAUAAUAAUAAUAAUCCAUACUCCUGCCAGAAAGCAGGAACAGGAUAAAGCAGGGGCACUUGAGCAGUGUGUGCAGCCCUCUUAUAAGACAAAAUACACAUACAAAAACAAAAAAAAAAAUUCCAAAUUAUUACGAAAAGCAGAUGUUAAUGCAGAGAUAAUAACUAUUAUAGUGUAUCAAGCAAGGAUAGAAAACUACUACUGAUAAGUAAAAUUGAAUUCCAAUUUGAGGGGGAAAAUGAAUAAACAAAUAAUAAUAAUAAUAAUAAAAACAUAAAAAGCUACAUUGCUUAUAUCAGUUUUAAUACCACCUGAAUCAUCAUCAGUUUUUAUAUAUAUAUAAAAAAAAAAAAAACAUUUAAAUGUUUCGCUAUUUCUUGAUAUAAUAAAUAUCAGUUUUUGCUGAAGGAAUAAAAAAGCAUAUUGGUUCUUCUACCCUAAAAAAAAUAAAAAGUAAAUAAAUUUAGCACAGCAAAACAGAUAGAGACACAUUUCUAAGUUCAGUGCAUGUGUUUGCCUGCUUACAAAGAGAAGAAACAUCAACAGACGCUGGUUUACAUGUGGAAAACAUUAUACAAAAAUAAUAACCCGAUCUCAUGAAAGUGCGUAUAAAUAGUAUGCCAAAUAAAAGCGACAACUCGUGCAUAUGCUAUGCAAUGGGUAGGUUUAGGGUUGUGGGGUAGAUCAUAUGUACUCGAAACCUGCGUAUCAUAUGCACAGCAACAAAUUUCGUAUCAUAUGCAUGCAAAAACCGCAUAUUAUAUGCACGCCAAAGUCCAUUUUUGCGUAUCAAUACCAUGAGUUUUUGUUUUUAUUUGGCGUACUAUUUAUAUGCAUUUUCAUGAGACUGGGCUCUAAAUAAAGUCCCACCACACACUAGAGGGCAGCAUUUGCUUCAGGGUAUCUGUCACGCCAACAUUUAUUCAAAUAGCCUACAAAUUAAAUGUCUGCCUCCACAAAUAAAAUCGCUAUUGUUUUAUGCUAGUGUACAGUAUAUGUGAAUCGUGAAUAUUCUAAAUCAGUGAGUUCUCUAUUAGUUAGUAAAUUCACUACAUGUGUGUCUGUACAGAAUACAAAGAUCGAGUCCUAAAGCACCAUCAGAGUAACAUGCUCGGGAUACUCAUAAUAAAUGCACGUUUUUACGUCUCUAGAGUAAGUUUAGACAGCGCUAGCACAUGCACACUCGUUCGUUACCAAAGGACUACAUGUAGGCAAAUUAUUAUGCGCAUAUGUUUUGAAUCAGUUAAGCAAUGAGCACAUCUUCAAUUAUUAGCCUACACGUUUUCAUGCAUGCAUUGCCUCCUUAAAAAUAUGUCUUUUGUAGCGCGUCUCCGCUCUGGUUUCCAGUAAGUGGAGUGUGAACGCAGACUAUUAGAGAAACCACUUUAGCAGCUGGGAGCGUGGUAUAUGUCUAAUGUUCUCUAGGUUUUAACACUUAACUACAGACUAUAAGCAUCUACACAUUUCCCUCGCAUUUAUAACAUUAUUCAAUGCGAUGUUUCUAUAAAUGGGUGAAUAAUAAUGCUUGGGGAAGCAGCAUGCAGUAAUCGGGGUCUCCUCCGGUGUGAAUGAGGCAGCAAGUAAUCAUUUUUACAAUCAAUACUGCAGCUCAAAUACCUCUACACUGCUAUUAAAUGGACAAGAUGUUCAAAAGCAGAGAGAAUGACAUAACAGAUUAAACAAUAUGUUCAAAUUCAAUGCAUCUGGCUACUUGGCCUCUUGACAUACAGGCAAAAUGUAAAGAAAAUAUACAAAUAUUUAUAAUAUCUUAUACAUAGUCAGUGUUUUCUUUAAAAGAAGCAUUCCAGUGUGGCAUCCUGGAUCCAUAAAAACCCUUAAGAUAUCAUUAGCCAUAUAUAUAUUACACAGUUUCUACAUGAACUGAAGCUAAACCAAACCAAAGAGCCGUAUUGUUUCUGGAAGUGUUUAAAACAACAUGCAACAUCUAAAAUACAUCAUCAACCAGCAUUUGUCUUUGCCAGUUUUUAAAACUAGGGAAGUAACGGUUCACAGAUUCUCAGUUUUAGGGCCAAUUUAAUUUUGUGUACCAUUUGGAUGAAAAAAAAAAAAAAAAGUAUAUUUGCUAUAUUAUAAAGCUGUCUUGGUGUUUUAUUGGUUAUAAUAUGAGAAAAAAUAUUGUGUAAAAAAUGUUAAACAAACAAACAAACAAACAAACAAACAAACAAACAAACAAACAAACAAACAAAUAAAUAAAUAAAUAAAUAAAUACCCAUUAAUACGGUGAUUGCAGAAUACUUCUAUUUACUACCACCACAAGAAAAUUAGUUUUCUUUUCAUGUUCUUAACAUGUGUUUUUAGCAUACAGAUGUAAUAGAAAGAAUAAAGGUCAUGGAAAGUGAAAAAUAAAUAAAUAAAUAAAUUGGACACCGUAUCCAUCAUAUCAUGGAAUAAUUGCUCCAGACCAGCGAUUAUUCAUCAGUGCAGCACAUUCACAGCGUGAACAAACGGCCUACAGAGACUGAGAAAUGAGCAAACGCUGCCUGCUGUAAUCACAGAAAUCCUCACGCUCCCUACAGAGUGAUUAAAACAACCAAAAAAUAAUCAGAGAUCAUUCUGAUCGCAGAGCUCCAUCCGCUUCGCCCUUUGGCUUUGACCACUUGAGCAAACUGAACAUGCACGCUGUUUGGAAAUAUAUUUAAAAAUCUGUAAAAAGGUUUUAACACUGUGUUGAUGAAUCCCAUCCAGUUCAAAUGAUUCUUUACAAUAGUUUGUACUCAGUUAUCGACCGAUUUCUGUUUGGUGCACUGUUACAGCCCUAGUUUAACAUCAUCUCCUCAUAUGAUCAAUUGCAGUUCAAUGAGUGGAGCAAUAAUAAUAAUAAUAAUAAUAAUAAUAAUAAUAAUUAAAACUCUGUACCUUGUUUUCUAGCAAAACAAAAAAUAAAUAAAUAAAUAAAUUCUUAGUAUUUUUUUUUUUGUUUUUGAGCACAAAUAUCUAAACAUCCCUAUAUCUCAAAAAAAAAAAUACAAAGAGAAAACAAGAUUAUUUAAAUAUCAUUUAUAUUAUAUUUAAGCAUUAUUUAAUAUGAUUAUUUUUAUAAUUAUAUUAUUUAUAUAUUUAAACCUGGGUUAUUAUAGCUAACUAAAACUAAACCUGAAACGAAAACUAAAACUAUGAAAUAUUUUCAUUACUUGGCAUAAAAUAAACCAACUUUAACUUUAUAAAACAUAAAAGUUUUUAUUUGGGUUAGUUGGCAAUGCAAAAUUUCAUAUUUUAAUAUAUAUAUAUAUAUGUGUGUGUGUG